UAUUCUGCCCCACGGGGAAGGAUGAGAAGCUUCGACUAAGGUUCGACUCGAGCGAAGCGAGAGAACGUUGCCGCAGGCAACGGCCCGAAGGGCGAGGCGCUUUAGCGCCGAGUAAUCCUUCCCCCAUCACCA
rnacentral:sRNA from 1 species